ACUAACUAGGAUGCCCUUAGUAACGGCGAGCGAACCGGGCAAAGCCCAACUUGAAAAUCUCCAGCCUCUGGCUGGCGAAUUGUAGUCUAGAGAAGUGCUCUCUGCCUCAGCCUGUUCCCAAGUCCCCUGGAAAGGGGCGUCAGAGAGGGUGAGAACCCCGUUGGGAUCGGAUCCUGAGGCUCCACGAGACGCUUUCGAAGAGUCGGGUUGUUUGGGAAUGCAGCCCAAAGCAGGUGGUAAAUCCCAUCUAAGGCUAAAUACAGACGGGAGACCGAUAGCGAACAAGUACCGCGAGGGAAAGAUGAAAAGAACUUUGAAAAGAGAGUUAAAAAGUACUUGAAAUUGUUGAGAGGGAAGCGAUUGGAUCCUACGGGUGCGCCCAGGCACACGCCUGCCUAACGGUUGGCUGAAUGCGCUGGGUGCUGGUCAGCAUGGGUUGACCGGGCGGGACAAACCCGGGGGUUGUUACCCCGGCUAUGUCGCCUGGUCGACUGAGGAAUGAAGGGCGCUCUCUGAGUCCUCCGGGAACUGCGUCCUCAAGAUGCUGGCGGAAAGGUUCCAAUCGGCCCGUCUUGAAACACGGACCAAGGAGUCUAACAUGCAUGCGAGCUGGUGGGUGGCAAACCCAUGAAGCGCAAGUAACCUGACUGGUGGGAUGGCCUGUGCCUGCACCAUCGACCGACCAUGAUCUUCUGUGAAAGGUUCGAGUACGAGCAUGCCUGUUGGGACCCGAAAGAUGGUGAACUAUGCCUGAGCAGGGCGAAGCCAGAGGAAACUCUGGUGGAGGCUCGUAGAUGUGCUGACGUGCAAAUCGCUUUUCGGACUUGGGUAUAGGGGCGAAAGACUAAUCGAACCAUCUAGUAGCUGGUUCCCUCCGAAGUUUCCCCCAGGAUAGCUGGAGCUCAUUUCAGUCGACUCGGGUAAAGCGAAUGAUUAGGCGCUCAGGGGAUGAAACAUCCUCGACGCAUUCUCAAACUUUAAAUAGGGUCGUUGUCUGGGUUGCUUAAUUGAACCCAGGCCCUUAGAUGAGAGCUCCAAGUGGGCCAUUUUUGGUAAGCAGAACUGGCGAUGCGGGAUGAACCGAUAGCUGAGUUAAGGCGCCAAACUGCGCGCUAACCUAGAUCCCACAAAGGGUGUUGAUUGAUAUAGACAGCAGGACGGUGGUCAUGGAAGUCGAAAUCCGCUAAGGAGUGUGUAACAACUCACCU
rnacentral:rRNA from 1 species